rnacentral:rRNA from 1 species
AGAGUUUGAUCCUGGCUCAGGAUGAACGCUAGCGGCGUGCCUUAAGCAUGCAAGUCGAGCGGUUCGACGCAAGUCGGACAGCGGCAGACGGGUGAGUAAUGCACAGAAAUGUACCCCUUAGCGGAGUAUAGCCCACCGAAAGGUGGGGUAAUUCUCCAUAGUCUCUCCUUUAAAAAAGAGAGUAAAGUGCGUAACUGUACACUAAGGGAGCAGUCUGUGUCCCAUCAGCUAGUUGGUAGGGUAACGGCCUACCAAGGCUUUGACGGGUAGGGGGUCUGAGAGGAUGGCCCCCCACAAUGGCACUGAGACACGGGCCAUACACCUACGGGUGGCAGCAACUGGGAAUCGUCGACAAUGGGCGAAAGCCUGAUCGCGCGACGCCGCGUGUGGGAUGAAGUCUCUCGGGAUGUAAACCACUGUGAUGAGGGAAGAAGUCCUCGCAAGAGGAUUGACGGUACCUUAUUAGAAAGCCGCUACAAACUACGUGCCAGCAGUCGCGGUAAUACGUAGGCGGCAAGCGUUAUCCGGAUUUAUUGGGCGUAAAGUGUGGGUAGGCGGUUUAUCACAUCUUAUCUUAAAUGUUGAGGCUCAACCUCGUCACUGGGUAAGAGAUGGAUAGACUAGAAAGCAAGAGGGGAUGUUGGAAUUCUGGGUGGAGCAGUGAAAUGCGUUGAUAUCCAGAAGAACACCAAAGGCGAAGGCAAACAUCUGGCUUGUUUUUGACGCUGAGACACGAAAGCUAGGGUAGCGAAGCAGAUUAGAGACCUGCGUAGUCCUAGCUGUAAACGAUGUCUGCUAGAUAGCUGGUCCGCCGACUGUAGAAUUAAUUUUCUAUUGUGGGCGGACUGGCUGUCGUAAGCUAACGCGUUAAGCAGACCGCCUGGGGAGUACGAGCGCAAGCUUAAAACUCAAAGGAAUUGACGGGGAGCUACACAACCGGUGGAGCGUGUGGUUCAAUUCGAGACAAAGCGAAAGACCUCACCAGGGUUUGACAUCUUAUCGUUUAAUCCCAAAGAAACUUGGGACCAUCCGCAAGGAUGAUAGGACAGGUGUUGCAUGGCUGUCCUCAGCUCGUGCCGUGAGGUAUCGGCUUAAGUGCCGAAACGAGCGCAACCCUCGUCGUUUGUUAAAUUUUCAAACGAGACUGCCCUGACAUCUGUUAGGGAGGAAGGAGAGGAUGACGUCAAGUCAGCACGACCCUUAUACCCUGGGCCACACACACCCUACAAUGGCGAACAACAACGGGCUGCAACUUCGUAAGGAGAAGCAAAUCCCUGAAAUUUCGCCUCAGUUGGGAUUGCGGGCUGAAACUCGCCCGCAUGAACUUGGAAUCGGUAGUAAUCGCGGAUCAGAAGGCCGCGGUGAAUGCGUUCUUAGCUCUUGUACACACCGCCCGUCAAGCCAACAAAGUCGGGGGCGGCUGAAGCUCGCUUUAUUGCGAACAAAGCCGAACUCGGCGAUGGGGACUAAGUCGUAACAAGGUAACC